AUGGACGCAGGUUCCGACUUGAUGUCGCCGGAGAAGAGCGGCAGGCGGGGCGCGCGGCCGCCGCUCCGGGAGGCCGGCGCGACGCCCUCCAUGCCGCCGCUCCAGGAGCCCGGCUCCAGGCCCAGGCCCUACAUGCCGUCCCUCUGCUCCACGCCCCGCAACCCUGCCGUCAAGUGCUAUGGCGACAGGUUCAUCCCUGACAGGUCGGCGAUGGACAUGGACAUGGCGCACUACCUGCUGACGGAGCCGAGGAAGGACAGGAAGAACGGGGCGACGCCGUCGCCGGGGAAGGAGACGUACCGGAAGCUGCUGGCGGAGAAGCUGCUCAACAACCGCACCAGGAUCCUCGCCUUCCGCAACAAGCCACCGGAGCCUGAGAACAGCAUCUUCACGGAGCUCCGUGCCGAUGUGGCCUCCGUCCAGGCCAGACCGGCGAAGAAGCGUCGAUACAUCCCUCAGUCCGCUGAUAGGACUCUGGAUGCACCAGACCUCGUUGACGAUUACUACCUCAACCUGCUGGACUGGGGAAGCGCCAACGUGCUGUCCAUUGCACUGGGCAACACGGUUUACCUCUGGGACGCCGCAAGUGGGUCUACAUCCGAGCUUGUUACCGUUGAUGAGGACGAUGGCCCUGUCACUAGUGUUAGCUGGGCUCCUGAUGGCCAGAACAUUGCUAUUGGCCUCAACUCCUCUGCUGUCCAGAUAUGGGAUUCCAGCUCGAACCGACUGCUGAGGACACUGCAAGGUGCGCAUGAGUCGAGAGUCGGUUCACUGGCAUGGAACAAGAGCAUCCUGACCGCUGGUGGUAUGGACGGCAAGAUUGUGAACAACGAUGUGAGGAUUAGGGACCAUGCUGUGCAGACAUACCGCGGGCACUCGCAGGAGGUGUGUGGCCUCAAGUGGUCCGGAUCAGGGCGGCAGCUAGCCAGCGGUGGAAACGACAACCUCCUCCACAUAUGGGAUGUGUCCAUGGCAUCCUCUGCACAAUCUGCAGGCCGCACCCAAUGGCUACACAGGAUGGAAGACCACUCGGCUGCUGUGAAGGCGCUCGCAUGGUGCCCAUUCCAGAGCAACCUGCUCGCAUCGGGUGGCGGCGCAAAUGACCGAUGCAUCAAGUUCUGGAACACACACACCGGCGCAUGCCUCAACUCAGUCGACACCGGGUCACAAGUCUGUGCGCUGCUAUGGAACAAGAAUGACAGAGAGCUGCUGAGCUCGCAUGGAUUCACUCAGAACCAGCUGACAUUGUGGAAGUACCCUUCGAUGGCCAAGAUGGCCGAGCUCAAUGGCCAUACCUCCCGUGUCCUCUUCAUGGCUCAGAGCCCUGAUGGUUGCACGGUGGCAUCUGCUGCAGCAGACGAGACCCUGCGCUUCUGGAAUGUCUUUCCUGAUGCUCCGAAGUCUGCAGUCAAAGAGAAGGCUACCCAGAGCAGAUUGUUCAACAGCUACAAUCACCUGCGCUAG
rnacentral:rRNA from 1 species